GAAUGACUUUCGGCAACGGAUAUCUCGGCUCACGCAUCGAUGAAGAACGUAGCAAAAUGCGAUACUUGGUGUGAAUUGCAGAAUCCCGUGAACCAUCGAGUUUUUGAACGCAAGUUGCGCCCGAAGCCAUCUGGUUGAGGGCACGCCUGCCUGGGCGUCACG
rnacentral:rRNA from 1 species